UACGUAGGGCGCAAGCGUUAUCCGGAAUUAUUGGGCGUAAAGAGCUCGUAGGCGGUUUGUCGCGUCUGCCGUGAAAGUCCGGGGCUCAACCCCGGACUUGCGGUGGGUACGGGCAGACUAGAGUGUGGUAGGGGAGACUGGAAUUCCUGGUGUAACGGUGAAAUGCGCAGAUAUCAGGAGGAACACCGAUGGCGAAGGCAGGUCUCUGGGCCACUACUGACGUGAGAAGCGAAGCGUGGGAGCGAACAGG
rnacentral:rRNA from 1 species